CAUAUAGACCAUAUAAGACUAUGUGUAAGCCCGUUAGGCGUGGGUGUGGUCUCGCUGAAUAUAUAAAGCGCACUCGUGCUAAGAGACUCGUGAAUUCCCAGGCAGUCGUGCAGCUAGAGAAACGUAUCAUAUACUAUAUAGAUAUACUAUAAAUUCACGGUGUACUACUAUCGUACGGUAGAAGUUCACUUUGAAGAUACAAGAGGCACAUACAGUAUCUGCUGUCUGAUACGAACUCAGUUUCGCCAUUAGAACGAAUCCGUAGUUAAGUAGUGAAGUUUAGUAAGCAGCUAGACAUUUCUACUUUGGUUUGAAGCUGCGUUUGCUAUUAUUCUGUACAGAAAUAAAAUUUGAAAAACUUAUAUUGUUUUGUUAUAUGAAUAUCAUAAUAAAUAAGGACGUUUUGAAUAUUUAUAUUAUAUAUCUUUCUGUGUUUGCUUUUGGGGAUUGUAUGCGGUGGCUCAGAAUGUACGUAGGAAAUCUUUUUACCACGCAAACGUCAAACGACGAAGACAGUCCUUUAUCUUAUCUUGUUGAUUCCACAAACCGGAAGUAGAAGCGGUUGGUUUUCUUGGGAGCAGGAAUUUUAAACAAAAGCUCUGUGAUUUUAGAAAGUAUCGCGUCAUCCAUCGGUGUACAGGAAUAUGGAUUAAACGAAGAAGAAAAGAACUGAUCAAUUUUUUUUUAAGAAGGAACCGCAAUGUUACUCGGGGAAAAUGAUUAAUUAAUACUAAAUGAUGUCAUAGGAAAUAAGGUUUCUUAUAUUAGUCACCAUUUGGGCGAACGAGGGAAGCAAAUUUACGUUUUUUUAUGGAAACGACCUGGUUACACCCUAGACGGCUAUCGUACAUGGGAUAAUGCUUUCAGCCUGGUUAGUAGUUCAAACUUGAACUUGACUGCAGCCGAGAAAAGAGAUUGCACAUGCUCAUGUGAACGCGCCUUCCUUAGUGUUAUAUUGAAAAUCAAUAGUCUGGAAUUUUGUUGAUUUGAGGAAUUUAUAGUACAAGGCUUAUCUUUGUUGUUUCCAGUAGAUAACAAAAGACAGAAGCGGCGAUAACGACAAAGAACGUAUAUUGCGUUAUAUUAAUACAGGAAUUUGGACAAGUUCGACUGGUCGAUUAAAGAAACGAAAAUAUGUUUAGCAGCUGAUUGGAUAAGUUAGUAGAUUAAUUUUAGAAAGAUUAAAUAUAUCAGUAAAGAGUUGCCUUCUAACGAACCGCACGUUAUCGAUUCGAUUAUAAACAGCCAAGAGUCACAAGUAGCUUUUGUGUCCGCCUUAUUAUAAACCGUUUCAAGUUUGCCAAGUAAAUAUUAGGUUAAUUUGAAAUUUUCUCAAGAGUACCAUACAGCUCAAGUGUUAUUCGUAUUGAUUUAUAAUUCGAAGGAGACGAGAGGUUUACGAUAUUUAAAAGCCCUCGCUAUGCCGAUCAGUUCCCAAAAGUAUUUUCAAGCCUGAUCUUUAUUUAGCGCAGCGUGGAAUCUCGCAGAAAAACAUGUACAAAAUAAAUACUGAAAAUUCGAGUCAACGUUCUGAUGAAUCAUUGUCUAAAAAAUAAUUAUAUAUUUUCAACGAAUCCGAUUCAUCGUAGAGAAAUAGCUUGGAGCGAGUCAACCUCAAAAAUAAGUACUUCGGAAGAAAUAUUUUUUGCAAUUAUUAAAACAAAGCAAUCUACAUUUUAUCCUCUCAUCGAUAUAACAGCCAGUCGACUAAUUUUCCAAAAUUAACUAAUACCUUUAAAGAAAAAACACAAAAGAAAGUCUCGUGAACGCCCGAACGACAAGUGUCAGGGUGACGACGAGAACGAAUGUACACAAAAGCAAUAAUAACGAAGGAUGAAAAUGAGAAGAUAUAGUAGGAGAUGUAGCCGUGAUGCCGGGAAGAAAUCAAUGCCAGCGUCUGGCCAUGGCGAAGCAAAUGCCGGCUCAAAAUCUCCCAUAUACGAUUACUCAAAUGACAAAUAGUAAUACAACAAGCACUAAAAUCCAUAA